rnacentral:rRNA from 1 species
CGCCCGUCGCUCCUACCGAUUGGAUGUGCUGGUGAAGCGUUCGGACUGGCGGCGCCCAGCGGUCCGCCGCAGGACGCCGCCGGGAAGUUCGUUGAACCCUCCCAUCUAGAGGAAGGAGAAGUCGUAACAAGGUCUCC